rnacentral:rRNA from 1 species
UACGUAGGGGGCUAGCGUUGUCCGGAAUCAUUGGGCGUAAAGCGCGCGUAGGCGGCCCGGUAAGUCCGUUGUGAAAGUCAAAGGCUCAACCUUUGAAUGCCGAUGGAUACUGCCGGGCUCGAGUCCGGAAGAGGCGAGUGGAAUUCCUGGUGUAGCGGUGGAACGCGCAGAUAUCAGGAGGAACACCGAUAGCGAAGGCAGCUCGCUGGGACGGUACUGACGCUAAGGCGCGAAAGCGUGGGGAGCGAACAGG